AAAUUCCAUCCAUAUCAAAAUAUUGGCCUUUAUCACUUUGGAUUGGAAUCUCAACUGCAAUCAUUGAAAUCUUCAUAAACUGAAUUGUAACAAAAAUUUGAAAUCCCCAAUUGUAUUGACUGCCUUGAUCUUGAAUGUCAAGAAUCGAUUUGCUAAAUAGUUUAGCAAAUAAACUUGUCAAGAGGUACUCAUAUCAAACCUGAGCAUCAAUGGGCACCAUUAUCGACUGCCGAUACUAUCUUUUUCUUGAUCAUCCUCUGGCACAUCACUACUCUUUCUUUUCUCCUGCACAACAAGACCAGAAUAUGAUAUCAGCAUUGUGUGUGCAAAGGUGCACGAAAGAUAAACAUGUCACUGCAUCAAACUGUAGGGUUAAAAGUAGAGAUUGUAUAUAUAGUUCAAACUUCUAACAAGCAGAUUGUUCUAAACCCAAUUAGGAAAGCUUACCAUCUGUUUGCUCUCUCCUUGAUGUCUUG
rnacentral:lncRNA from 1 species